CUGACGUGCCCGCAUUAAUCAGAAAUUCACCAUCCUAGUUCCAAGGCAGAGGGAUGACAGGCACGGCACCAGCAGCGGCCCCACCUUCCUUCUGCAAAUGCAUUCUUCAAUUCUAGAAGGAAAUCAUAAGCGACUUGCCCGGGGAGGAUUGCUCAUGAGGCUGGAUGUUUGUCCCAUCCUCUACCAGGCCUCAACAUCUUCUGAAGGCAAGAGCCUGGAGGGUCAGCCCUGGAUCCAGGAACCCUAA
rnacentral:lncRNA from 1 species